rnacentral:rRNA from 1 species
GGGUUAAUUCCGUGCCAGCAGCCGCGGUAAUACGGAGGGUGCGAGCGUUAAUCGGAAUUACUGGGCGUAAAGCGCAUGCAGGUGGUUUGUUAAGUCAGAUGUGAAAGCCCGGGGUUCAACUUCGGAAUUGCAUUUGAAACUGACAAACUAGAGUACUGUAGAGGGGGGUAGAAUUUCAGGUGUAGCGGUGAAAUGCGUAGAGAUCUGAAGGAAUACCGGUGGCGAAGGCGGCCCCCUGGACAGAUACUGACACUCAGAUGCGAAAGCGUGGGGAGCAAACAGGAUUAGAUACCCUGGUAGUCCACGCCGUAAACGAUGUCUACUUGGAGGUUGUGGCCUUGAGCCGUGGCUUUCGGAGCUAACGCGUUAAGUAGACCGCCUGGGGAGUACGGUCGCAAGAUUAAAACUCAAAUGAAUUGACGGGGGCCCGCACAAGCGGUGGAGCAUGUGGUUUAAUUCGAUGCAACGCGAAGAACCUUACCUACUCUUGACAUCUACAGAAGCCAGCGGAGACGCAGGUGUGCCUUCGGGAACUGUAAGACAGGUGCUGCAUGGCUGUCGUCAGCUCGUGUUGUGAAAUGUUGGGUUAAGUCCCGCAACGAGCGCAAUCCUUAUCCUUGUUUGCCAGCACUUCGGGUGGGAACUCCAGGGAGACUGCCGGUGAUAAACCGGAGGAAGGUGGGGACGACGUCAAGUCAUCAUGGCCCUUACGAGUAGGGCUACACACGUGCUACAAUGGCGCAUACAGAGGGCGGCCAACUUGCGAAAGUGAGCGAAUCCCAAAAAGUGCGUCGUAGUCCGGAUUGGAGUCUGCAACUCGACUCCAUGAAGUCGGAAUCGCUAGUAAUCGUGGAUCAGAAUGCCACGGUGAAUACGUUCCCGGGCCUUGUACACACCGCCCGUCACACCAUGGGAGUGGGCUGCAAAAGAAGUGGGUAGUUUAACCUUCGGGAGGACGCUCACCACUUUGUGGUUCAUGACUGGGGUGAAGUCGUAACAAGGUAACCG